rnacentral:rRNA from 1 species
AGGAAUAUUGCGCAAUGGGCGGAAGCCUGAUGCAGCGACGCCGCGUGAGGGAUGACGGCCUUCGGGUUGUAAACCUCUUUCAGCAGGGACGAGGCGUAAGUGACGGUACCUGCAGAAGAAGCACCGGCCAACUACGUGCCAGCAGCCGCGGUAAUACGUAGGGUGCAAGCGUUGUCCGGAAUUAUUGGGCGUAAAGAGCUCGUAGGCGGUCUGUCACGUCGGCUGUGAAAACCCGGGGCUCAACCCCGGGCCUGCAGUCGAUACGGGCAGACUAGAGUGCGGUAGGGGAGACUGGAAUUCCUGGUGUAGCGGUGAAAUGCGCAGAUAUCAGGAGGAACACCGGUGGCGAAGGCGGGUCUCUGGGCCGUAACUGACGCUGAGGAGCGAAAGCGUGGGGAGCAAAA